GCGGGGUUAGCUCAGUUGGUUAGAGCGUGGUGCUAAUAACGCCAAGGUCACAGGUUCAAUCCCUGCUCACUGCA
rfam:Pelecanus crispus contig46292, whole genome shotgun sequence.